UUAGCUUGUUGGUGAGGUAAUGGCUCACCAAGGCGACGAUCAGUAUCUGGUUUGAGAGGACGAUCAGACACACUGGAACUGAGACACGGUCCAGACUCCUACGGGAGGCAGCAGUAGGGAAUUUUCCGCAAUGGGCGAAAGCCUGACGGAGCAAUCUCGCGUGAGGGAUGACGGCCUAUGGGUUGUAAACCUCUUUUUUCAGGGAGGAAUAACUGACGUGUACCUGAAGAAUAAGCAUCGGCUAACUCCGUGCCAGCAGCCGCGGUAAGACGGAGGAUGCAAGUGUUAUCCGGAAUCACUGGGCGUAAAGCGUCUGUAGGUGGUUUAAUAAGUCAACUGUUAAAUCUUAAAGCUUAACUUUGAAAUCGCAGUCGAAACUAUUAGACUAGAGUAUAGUAGGGGUAAAGGGAAUUUCCAGUGGAGCGGUGAAAUGCGUAGAGAUUGGAAAGAACACCGAUGGCGAAGGCAUUUUACUGGGCUAUUACUAACACUCAGAGACGAAAGCUAGGGUAGCAAAUGGGAUUAGAUACCCCAGUAGUCCUAGCCGUAAACAAUGGAUACUAGAUGUUGAACAGAUCGACCUGUGCAGUAUCAAAGCUAACGCGUUAAGUAUCCCGCCUGGGAAGUAUGCUCGCAAGAGUGAAACUCAAAGGAAUUGACGGGGCCUUCUUCUGCCAUGGUUUCCAUGGCUGUCGCUGAAGAUGACGACCUUUUCGGACAUUUCAGUGCUCCUCUUGAAGAGGAUGUCCCAAUUGUCGCUGUUCCUUGCUUUGCCAAUGAAGAUGGAUUUGGUGGACAAAUUACUGACGAAUCAUUCAAAGUCGAAUUCUACUACGAGAUGGUUUACAGAACUGGAGGAGAUGAAGUAGAUGAAAUGCUCACAUCCCUUGAAGCCGACAGCACCAACUUUUUGCUUCAAUCUGACUUGUUCCCAGGUGCCUGUGAUGCAGUGAUUGCCCGACAAGCUGGCCUUGCUCAAGGAAUCAGUUCCAACCCUGAAGAUGAGGACCUUGAAGGCAUUCCAUGUACUUCUAUUUCGGGGAACGCUGGUACUGGUACCGAGUGUGUUGUCGUAAGCGGG
rnacentral:rRNA from 1 species